AUUAUUGCUCAGUGGCAGUACCAUAGAAAAUGAGGAGUUUCCGAAGUGUGUUAUUGCUGGUUGAAAACUAUACCCAAUUAUUUAUUUUUAGGUGCUCAAACAUUGUCUAGAGAAGAUAGCAUACAGACCAAAAGUCAAUGUUGUAAUUGGUCAAGCGAUC
rnacentral:snRNA from 1 species